GCAGUCUGAAGGGGAUGGUGAAGCCCAGCAAGUACGGAAAGAGUGAGUGGAAUCUGAGUGGAAAAGAAGGUGGUCCUGUGUCCACAGAAGGACGGAGGUUGUGUCGGAGUCAUCUCAUACACCUGGGCAGCUCGUUGGAAAUUGACUCCUUUUCCAUCCAAGACUGAUUUCCCAUCAGUCCCCCAGAGAGUUUGCCUCUCUGAAACUCCUGCUGGAGAACCUGCAAGUUACUGUGACCAAAUCAGAUCUACAGUUCCUACCUUCUCGUGGCUCAGCUGAAUCUCCAAGAGGCCACAGAACAAGCUCAUGGCCCCAGAGCCACAGAAAAUGGUAGGUGCAGCAAAUCACCUAGGACCAUCUGUUGUUAGUGAUUAUGGUCCUGUUCCUAUGAUACUACUGCAAGAGGAGCCAUUACCAGUGACCCCACCACCCCCUCCAUCACCAGCGACCCCCCCAACACCACCACCAUCACCACCUCUAACACCUGAACCAGGACAGUCUGCUGGAGAACUAGAGUCUCACCUUGGGCCAGUUCCAGAGCACCCUCCUGGAGGAGCUGGUGGUGAGGAUCAUGCUUCUACCACACCAAUGGAGCAGGGGCAGUCACCAGGGACCGCCUCCCCAACUACAUGCCCACAAACUGCGGGAUAGUCCAUUGGAGAGUGAGAGUGUUAUUGUGGGCCAGCUACAGUGUGCCAUGUGCCUAUCUUCCUGCUUCUGCAGCAGCACAUACCCUGGAGGCAGCCCAGGUCCUCUUUGCCCAGCUGUGGCUAGGGCUCCAGUGUCUCAGUCUCUUAACAUAUAUUGUCCACAUCAGCUCCUCAUCCACAUCCAGGAAACAGAUAGUCCAGAAUUAGAGCCUUCACUCCCCUAACCCAAGGGGGUAUUUUUUUUUUGUUUGCUUGUUUUUCCUUUAGUAUUUUCUCAGCUUAUGUGAUACUACUUUUAACAUGUAUAUUUCUCAUUAAAUAAAAUUGGCCUGAAUCAUA